AUUGAACGCUGGCGGCAGGCCUAACACAUGCAAGUCGAGCGAGCGGCGGACGGGUGAGUAAUGUCUGGGAAACUGCCUGCUGGAGGGGGAUAACUACUGGAAACGGUAGCUAAUACCGCAUACCAUCAGAUGUGCCCAGAUGGGAUUAGCUAGUAGGUGGGUUAACGGCUCACCUAGGCGACGAUCCCUAGCUGGUCUGAGGGGAUGACCAGCAACACGGGAACUGAGAAACGGGACAGACACCAGCGGGAGGCAGAAGUGGGGAAUAUUGAACAAUGGGCGCAGGCCUGAUGCAGCCAUGCCGCGUGUGUGAAGAAGGCCUUCGGGUUGUAAAGCACUUUCAGCGGGGAGGCGUUACCCGAAGAAGAAGCACAGGCUAACUCCGUGCCAGCAGCCGCGGUAAUAA
rnacentral:rRNA from 1 species